rnacentral:rRNA from 1 species
UACAGAGGUCCCAAGCGUUGUUCGGAUUCACUGGGCGUAAAGGGUGCGUAGGUGGCGGGGAAAGUCUGAUGUGAAAUCUCCGGGCUUAACCCGGAAAUGGCAUUGGAAACUACCUUGCUCGAGGAUUGGAGGGGGGACUGGAAUACUUGGUGUAGCAGUGAAAUGCGUAGAUAUCAAGUGGAACACCAGUGGCGAAGGCGAGUCCCUGGACAACUCCUGACACUGAGGCACGAAAGCUAGGGGAGCAAACGGG